rnacentral:rRNA from 1 species
UACGUAGGGGGGCAAGCGUUGUCCGGAAUUAUUGGGCGUAAAGAGCGCGUAGGCGGUCCGAUAAGUCGGCUGUGAAAGUCAGGGGCUCAACCCUUGAAAGCCGGCCGAUACUGUCGGACUAGAGUCCGGAAGAGGCAAGUGGAAUUCCCGGUGUAGCGGUGAAAUGCGCAGAUAUCGGGAGGAACACCAAUGGCGAAGGCAGCUUGCUGGGACGGUACUGACGCUGAGGCGCGAAAGCGUGGGGAGCAAACAGG